GAUGAACGCUGGCGGCGUGCCUAAUACAUGCAAGUCGAGCGCUGGAAAUCUAGCUUGCUAGAUUGAAGGAGUGGCGAACGGGUGAGUAAUACAUAAGCAACCUACCCACGAAGACUGGGAUAAUCUCUGGAAACGGGGACUAAUACCGGAUAGGUAAUCGAAAGGCAUCUUCUGAUUAUUAAAGGUUAAAAACCCUGGUGGAUGGGCUUAUGGGGCAUUAGUUAGUUGGUGUGGUAACGGCCCACCAAGACGAUGAUGCGUAGCCGGCCUGGGAGGGUGAACGGCCACAUUGAGACUGCGACACGGCCCAGACUCCUACGGGAGGCAGCAGUAGCGAAUUUUCGGCAAUGGGGGAAACCCUGACCGAGCGACGCCGCGUGAGUGAUGACGGCCUUCGGGUUGUAAAGCUCUGUUGUAAGGGAAGAACGGUAGAUAGAGAAUAUCUAAAUGACGGUACCUUACCAGAAAGCCACGGCUAACUACGUG
rnacentral:rRNA from 1 species